rnacentral:tRNA from 1 species
UGGGGUUGUAGCUCAGUGGUAGAAUACCUACUUGCCUGGCAUGCAUGAGACUUAGGUUCCAGCCCCAGAACCUCAA